GAUGAACGCUGGCGGCGUGCUUAACACAUGCAAGUCGAACGAUGAAGCCCAGCUUGCUGGGUGGAUUAGUGGCGAACGGGUGAGUAACACGUGAGUAACCUGCCCUUAACUCUGGGAUAAGCCUGGUAAACUGGGUCUAAUACCGGAUAGGAGCGUCCACCGCAUGGUGGGUGUUGGAAAGAUUUAUCGGUUUUGGAUGGACUCGCGGCCUAUCAGCUUGUUGGUGAGGUAAUGGCUCACCAAGGCGACGACGGGUAGCCGGCCUGAGAGGGUGACCGGCCACACUGGGACUGAGACACGGCCCAGACUCCUACGGGAGGCAGCAGUGGGGAAUAUUGCACAAUGGGCGCAAGCCUGAUGCAGCGACGCCGCGUGAGGGAUGACGGCCUUCGGGUUGUAAACCUCUUUCAGUAGGGAAGAAGCGAAAGUGACGGUACCUGCAGAAGAAGCACCGGCUAACUACGUG
rnacentral:rRNA from 1 species